rnacentral:lncRNA from 1 species
GUUGGUUCUGCCUCACUGUGCUUCCUGCAGUUAAGUCCUGUAAUCAGACCUGAUGUCCUGAUGAUUACAGCGUCCUCAAUGAGCUGAAACAGCGAAGAACACCACGGACUCCUGUUCACCUGCUGCACAGUGUGGAUGGAAGCUACAGCAUUGUGCUGAAGACCAGAUUUAAUGAGGACUGCGGUUGGGAAAACGAGGAGCGAGCUGUGAGUCUUCAUCACUGCAGUCCUGUGAUGGAGAAAAACACAUUUCUCAGGCGAACACAUUCUAGAAGGACGCUGGAGCUCCUGCUGCUCUGCUCUUGAUCACAGUAAUGGAAAUGCUCUCUGUGGCCUCUUUCAGAGUGUCAUCAAAUCCGCCUCGAUCCAUCUCCGAGACGGCUUCCUCCACUGAGCCAAUUAGAGGAUAAAAGAAGAAACAGAACUUUUCCUGCUUUUGGGCUUUCAGAGCCGACGCACUGCUGCGCGAGAGGCGCGAGAGCGGCCGAC